rnacentral:rRNA from 1 species
GUAGGUGGCAAGCGUUGUCCGGAAUUAUUGGGCGUAAAGCGCGCGCAGGCGGUUCUUUAAGUCUGAUGUGAAAGCCCACGGCUCAACCGUGGAGGGUCAUUGGAAACUGGAGAACUUGAGUACAGAAGAGGAAAGCGGAAUUCCACGUGUAGCGGUGAAAUGCGUAGAGAUGUGGAGGAACACCAGUGGCGAAGGCGGCUUUCUGGUCUGUAACUGACGCUGAGGCGCGAAAGCGUGGGGAGCAAACAGGAUUAGAUACCCUGGUAGUCCACGCCGUAAACGAUGAGUGCUAAGUGUUAGGGGGUUUUCCGCCCCCCUUAGUGCUGCAGCUAACGUAUUAAGCACUCCGCCUGGGGAGUACGGCCGCAAGGCUG